rnacentral:siRNA from 1 species
AGAUGAUGGACUUAGAUGAUGG